UUUCCGUUGGUGAACCUGCGGAAGGAUCAUUAACGAGUCAGGGUCAUUCUGGCCCGACGUCAACCCCUUUGUUACAUUACUAUGUUGCUUUGGCCGGCCCGUUUCACGACUGCCGGACGUCCUCCGUCUUAUCGCCCGUGCCCGCCAAUCUCCUUCCACAACUCUUUGCUUAAUCGUGUUGUCCGAGUAAUUCAUUCAAUAGUUCAACUUUUCAAUAAAGGCUCUCUUGGUUCUGGAAUCGAUGAAGAACGAAGCAGACAGGUAGAGCCCACGUUCGAA
rnacentral:misc_RNA from 1 species